AAAAAAUACAAGAAAAAGUCCUAAGUAAUUUGUUAUUGUACUGAGGUAAACCAGGCAUCGACACAGGUCUAAACAUGAAUGAAAAUAACACUGGACCUAGGCCCGCGUAUCAGAUAAUUUGAGGCCCAAAGGCUGGAGAACACGACUCGACGUUGAGUCUUAGCCAUCGGCACAAAAUAGCACCUAAAGGAAAAUUCGAAUGCCCCAACUAGUUCCAAAACAUACCACAACAACACCAUACCCAAAUUGAUCCUAGAAUGUCUUAAGUGAAACCAAAAAUCUACUGGAAAACCAACCAAAAAAUAGUACUGACUCCAGUUAACAAAAUACUGAACUAAAAAAUGACUUAGUAGCUAGAAAUCUGAAAGCUCUCAAAAACUCUCACAAUUGAUUCCUAAGAACUGUGUUAAGCUUUUAAAACCCUCUCUCUCUUUUUCAGUCUAAAACUCUUAAGCACUGAUGUUUUUAAGCUAAUUGACUGAAGAAAAACUCUCCGUCUAAAACUCGUUGUGUGUUCUCCGACUCCUUUCUUUCAGAAUGUUCUCUUAAUUUUCAUUUAAAGAUCAAUUUUACUCCCCUUUUUCCCUUUUUUAUUCAAACACUUUUCUUUACAACUUGUAUAUUUCCUCCCCGUGUGCACCCCUUUAGCUUUUCAUUAUUACCCCAUGUUAUCUACUUCCCAACCCCUUUUUCUUUCUUUAUACUUGUAUUAUUUUGACUUUUUGUACCCCCAUGUUCUAUUCUGAUUUUUCCACUAAAAGAUAUUGUUCAGAGUUGUUAGUAUACCCUUUACCCUCUUUCCUGUUAUUCUAAUCCAAACAGGUAUGGGCAUAUCCUUUUUUUUAAAAGAAAACUUGACUACUAACUAUACUAAUCAAUUCCUUGAGUCAGGGAUCAAGUGAUGAACAAAGCACAUGGCAACAAUUUCUGAUCCUAGAAGUUUUUACCAUUUCACUGUCAAAUGACAUUUCUCAUACGAAAAUUAGAACUGAAAUUGACGUGCAAUAAUCCAGGACUGACUCUUUUGGACUUCGAAACAAACAGAAGUUAAAACCAAAUUGCAAAUAGCUUUUUCAACACAAACUUAAUUUAAACCAAAAGUUAAACAACUAAUAAGAACAAAUAUUGAUGAACACGGCUCACACAAACAACAGAAACAAGCACAAUGAAAGAAACGAAAAGAGGAGAGAUGAACAAGAUUAUAGAAACCAACAUAAAAACGAAACACGAGGAGAUGAGGACUGGAAAUUUAAACAAAAAUAAAAGAUAAAAGAAAAGAAAAGGGAAUUGAAAAUACCCGAAUUCCAUGCGGACCCAAUUAUGAAAUUUGUCCCCGUUUCUCUGAUUUGGAUCGAAACGGACCUUAAUUGUGUGUUUUCAAUGUGAAAAUACAUGACUAAGGUCUAAUUCGGUCUACAAAUCUUAACAUGUCCAUUGAAUUUGAGUUAAAAUAAGUAGGGCUCGUUUAUGCGAUCUAGUAUUCGAACAACUCUAGGGGGAUUCGAAGGAAACAAUUUGGAUAUUUGGAUUGAGGGAGGCUUGGUGGUUCAAGGGUGUGAAUUUGGUUGUGAUUGGAUAGGCUAGGGGUUUUAAUGGAUUCUUCGAUUGAAGAUUCAAAGAAACUGGUUGGGAUUCGAGGGAAGCUGUUAGGAUGGUUGGAAUGGGGAGGUCAAGAGGGUUCUAGGUUGUAAAAAUGGGAAGGUUUGAGUGUCGGCCGCCGUCGUAGGCGAUUUCCGACGGGCGGUCGACGUCGUUUCAUGAUUGCGGGUUCAUUUGUUCUUUGAUAGAUG
rnacentral:lncRNA from 1 species